CCCCCUAUCCCGCUUUUGUGCAACUGGAUCACGGAUAAAUUGAGCCAGGAUAACCAAGAUAUCCCGGCUUAAUCCCUUAUCCUAGUUUUAUGCAAUAGGCCCCAGAUGCCUUCUUUAACUAUCGUAAAU